AACACCGGGAUUGCCUUAGUACGGCGAGUGAAGCGGCAAAAGCUCAAAUUUGAAAUCUGGUACCUUCGGUGCCCGAGUUGUAAUUUGGAGAGGGCAACUUUGGGGCCGUUCCUUGUCUAUGUUCCUUGGAACAGGACGUCAUAGAGGGUGAGAAUCCCGUGUGGCAGGAGUGCGGUUCUUUGUAAAGUGCCUUCGAAGAGUCGGUUGUUUGGGAAUGCAGCUCUAAGUGGGUGGUAAAUUCCAUCUAAAGCUAAAUAUUGGCGAGAGACCGAUAGCGAACAAGUAGUGAUGGAAAGAUGAAAAGAACUUUGAAAAGAGAGUGAAAAAGUACGUGAAAUUGUUGAAAGGGAAGGGCAUUUGAUCAGACAUGGUGUUUUGUGCCCUCUGCUCCUUGUGGGUAGGGGAAUCUCGCAUUUCACUGGGCCAGCAUCAGUUUUGGUGGCAGGAUAAAUCCAUAGGAAUGUAGCUUGCCUCGGUAAGUAUUAUAGCCUGUGGGAAUACUGCCAGCUGGGACUGAGGACUGCGACGUAAGUCAAGGAUGCUGGCAUAAUGGUUAUAUGCCGCCCGUC
rnacentral:rRNA from 1 species